GAGAGAGACAUGCGCGCAUAUCAAUAAGCGGAGGAAAAGAAACUAACAGGGAUUCCCCUAGUAACGGCGAGUGAAGCGGGAAGAGCUCAAAUUUGAAAUCUUAAAGGGUUUCCCUUUACGAAUUGUAGUUUAAAGAAGUGUUUUCUGUUGAGGUUUUGGUAAAAGUUCUUUGGAAUAGGACAUCAUAGAGGGUGAGAAUCCCGUAUUUGACCUUUACUUUCAACUUUGUGAUACACUUUCAAAGAGUCGGAUUGUUUGGGAAUGCAGUCCAAAAUGGGUGGUAAAUUUCAUCUAAAGCUAAAUAUUGGCGAGAGACCGAUAGCGAACAAGUACCGUGAGGGAAAGAUGAAAAGAACUUUGAAAAGAGAGUUAAACAGUACGUGAAAUUGUCAAAAGGGGAGCGUUUGACACCAGUGUUGUUUUUCUGAAAAUCAAUUAAAGAACUGUUUAUGCUAAGUUGUUUAGACUUUAUCAGCUAACUGUUUAGUUUUGAGCUUUUCUUUAAUGCACUUUUCAGUUAACAAGUCAACAUCAAUUUCUUUUGCUGUAAAAAAGCUUGAGGAAGGUGGCUUGAGAUUCGUCUUAAGUGUUUAUAGCCUCUUGCCUAUGCAGUCGGAGAGAUUGAGGUCUGCAGCGUAGAUCCUUCGGGGCUAAAUGCAUUUGUGCUAAGUUAUAGCAUUUUAUAGACAACUUGUUGACUAUGAUUUGUCUUGUAGCUUACUCGCUUAUGUUAUUUUACCUACGCUUAGGAUGUUGAGCGCAUGUCUCUCUCU
rnacentral:rRNA from 1 species